CUAAAAUGGUGGAAGGAGAUUAGAUAUCAUCACUAGGAGAACAAAUAAAGAUGGGGGGUAAAUAAACAAAAUAAACUGCAAAGUACAUCCAAAGACUUAGGACAAAGGCCCCAGUGGAAACAGAUUAAAAUAUCAAAAUGGCAACAAAAGCGACAAACACAACAGAGGAGCCCUUAGCUGACCUCCUGAAUAGGUUUGAAGUUGCAAAUGUCAGGGACACGCAUGACUUAAGUGGAGGACAUUUAAAUGAGAGUAAUAUGUUAAAACAUGCUGAGAUCUCUAAUAGAAAGCCAUGGGAAAGUUCCCAGAAACCACACAUCAAUAUGAGAGAAGCCGGGAAACUUCAACAUGGUGGCAAGAAAAAUAAUGAGAGCCAAAAGACAAUGCUUGAUACAUUGAUAAACUUUAGCAUGGGAACAGCCGGAACACUAGAAAGUCCUACGAAAGUUCCAGAAAUGCCAAAUCCAAUAAAAUUCAUGCAGCCAGAUCUAACCUACAAAUUAGAACCAAUCGACAAUAAAUCAAAACCCAAGUCAAGACAAAAAUCGCCAGUUAAUACAUUACACACAGAAACAAUACCACGUGCAGCUGAUCAAAAACAUGAGAAAUCACUCCAACAAGAAACAAUGAAAAAUCCCAGAUUAUUAGAUCAAACUUUUAUACAGGAGCUAACAAUACCUGACCUCAUGUUACCUAAAAGUAAAUAUCAUGAUAGCGAUUACAUAGAUUCUGGAAGAGACUCUCCAAAGCAUGUGUUUGUGCCAAAUCAUUUGACUGCCAUUACUAAGAAGGAUCAGCAUCGACAAAUUAAAGAUUUUGAGCAGACUAUUGUGAGGAAACAUGAAACAAUGGAGCAGAAUGUACUUUCAGGGGUGAAAGCUGUUGAACAUCUAGAGAGGAAGCUAAGAGAGGACUUGGACACAUUGGAGUAUGAUGGCUAUGGACCUAACUUCCACAGGCUUCAAGUGUACAGUAAUGUAUAUGAGGACCUCAUUGCAGAUUCUCCCACACUGUCAUACAUCCUCAAAACUAUCAAGGCUGAGUAUGACAACUACAUAUCUUCACUCCUGGAUAGUCAAGCCCCCCAACAUUCCAUUCUGAAUGAACAGGUUGAACAAUUGCAAGCCAGGGGCACAUCCAAGCCAGAGUUAUUGAAUCGAGAACAAGAACGUCUGAAAAAACUUGAGAGCAGGGCCAAAGAGCUCUUGGAUCAGAGUGAUAAGCUGCAUGCUGACAUAGAAGAGGCAAAUGAACUCCUAGCAGAAGCUGAGGCUAUAGAACCACCAAAGAGAAGCACUCUUUACCAUGAGGAAACAAAACUUGACCCAUCUGACCAGGUAGAAGAACUACAUACAGCUAUCCUUGAGAAACUGGACCAGAUGAAGGUGAUCAGAGAUGGUCUGCAUGAGAAAUAUGUCCCCCUGUCUGUUUGUGGUCACCUGGAGCAGUGUAUAAAAGAGUCUGAUAUUGAAGUUCAGAAAUUGCUGAAACAGAAUGAGUUCUUUGAAAAGGGCAAUAAUGAAUUAGAGGGUGACCUGAAGGAAGCUAUUCAGGGUGCUGAACUAUCAGAGAGAGAACACAGGAAAGUGAAUCGUAGAAUCGAUGGAGUGAUGUCAUUGGACAGUAGCAGGUCUACUGCAUCUUCAGUGAGAAGUGUGAAAAGCAAAGUAGCGGGAACUGCACAGGGGGAAACAGGAGAUGUAGCCCCACAUCUCUCUGAGGGAGAAGAUGAACCAGUUAAUGAAGAUGAAAGCGACGAUGAUGAUGAUGAUAAAUGGGAAUUUUAUAUAUCAUAGACUGUGGUCUUUCAAGAUUUAAGAUGUUUUUGAUGAUUCUUAAUAUCCAAUGCUGUCCAAAUCAUAGGCUAUAGGAAAAACAAAAAGCAAAAAAAAAAUUUGAAGACAUUAUUAUCAUAACUUCCACGCAGUACCAAAAACAGCGUCAUAAAAACAUUGAACAAUAGUGAUAAUUGCAUACUUCUUUAUUUUUUAUUGCAAAUAAUACAUACUUUAUGUCGCAUUUAUUUAUUUAUUUAUGUAUGCCAUAUAUGUACGAUAACAGCUAAAAUAUACAGUUUGUGUCAAUUUGAAAUAUGAACACAUUUGUUCUGUGGCAUUUUUCUUGUAAAUGUGGACCCAAUUUCUAACUAUCAUUAUAAUUCCCCAUUGUAUAACCAUAGGUUUAUUUCAAACCUUUGUAACCCCUUCCCCUACACCUCACCUCCUGGGAGUGAAAGAGAAAGUGGAAUAGGGGGAGGGAAGGGGGUCUUAAGACUUGAUCCAAACUAGUGUUACCAUGGACUCACUUAAAGCCUUUGGUAUAACUGUCAUGAAUUUGCUUUCCUCCAUGUAGUUUCAUGAAAAAGAGAUCAAAUAAUAUCUAAUACAUAUGUAUGUUGUAUAAAGCUCAACACUGCAGUAUAAUAAUGUUUUCAGUUGAUAUUCAAAAUUGCUGAACUUAAUGGAUUAACCCCAGUAGGACUUGCAGAUUUAUCCAAAGAAUGUAGUGUCCAUAAAAAAGAAAUGCUAAUAUUCUAUUUUUUUACUUUGUUUAACACUGGUAUACAAGCAUUCAUUUGAUGAACAUGUAUAGUACUACACAUGUUUGAAUUGUAUGAUUUUAAAAUAAUAAAACAAUUUUUAGGCAACAAUACAAUCCUAGCAGGGUUAAAACCAAAUAAUGCAAAAGGGUUACACAUAAUGGUAUAGGCAGUGAACAGUUCCAAAAUAUUACACCUUUUGGUAAUUAUUUUAUGGACGUAUUGUUAUGAAAGUGUUGUAGUGACAUUCUGUCUUUCUUCAUUACAUUUGUAAACUAAUCAAAGAAAGUGCCUUAGGCAUGCCCAUGGGCGUUAUAAUGACAAGCUUCCAUUCAGUAAUUACCAGUAUGGACAUCAAUUUUUGUCAUGCGAUUUACAAUACUAUAUUAACCUUUCUCCCUUGAAAUUGAUCUCCCUCAAAAUGACUAAUCUCCCUAAUAUGUAUUUCAGUAAUUAUUACAAAUUCUGGUCACUGAUGUUCAGUACAUAACUUCAAGUAAAUUUUAUUUUUCGAUAAGCACCUUAUGAAUAAUGGUAGACUGUAUAUUUACAGUAAAACCUGUCUAUGUGAGUCCCUGUCCUCUUAAAAGCAAACACCUCAAAUUGGGAUCACAUCUUUGAGUACCCAUUUUGCUUCCCUAAUAUUAACACUAAUAUGAAUAUUUCAGUCAAUCUCAUAUACACAGUUUUUACUGCUUUUUUCUGAAGUACAUGUAUUACAUUGUAACCCUGGUUAUAAUUUUGGCAGCACAAUAUUUCCCACAUACAUUUAGCGCAAGGCAUUUCAAUGGUAAAGUUGAACCUUUUGUUAAAAUACCAUACCAUUCCAUUCUACAAGACAUACAGUGCCUAAAAGUACAAUUAAGCAACCUUGUCUGGAUGUACAGCUGUAUCAAAUGCUAGUUUGUAAAUUGGUUUAAUUUGGCCAAUUUGUCCUUUUGUGAAAAUAUAUCAAAAUACCAUAGGAUAACAUGGUACACGAGUAUUGGCGAAGAUCUGAAUUGGCAAUCUCAUACAGAAUUGGUGGAUCAGUAAAUUAAAGCAAUAUACAUAGCUGUUAAAUGCCAUGGAUUUAAUGACAAUAAAAUAAUGGAAAACAUAAAGGGGGUGAAAAUGUACUCUAUAAUCUUCUUCAAUAAAUUCUUAUUUAUUAUUUACAAUUUUUUUUACUUAUUGAAUGCUUUUUUCCAUGUACCAACAAAUAACACAACAAAUAACAACAAGAACAAAAAACAUUCGAUAGGCCCUCAAUGAUUCAAGACAGAUUUUCGUGCUGGUGAUCUAAAACUUGAUUUUACUCUUUCCCAACACCAUAACACUAUCAAUACAGCAUGUAUAGGCAGACGUUUUUCCAAUUUGUGAGUCCAACUAUGAUAAUUGGUAAAUCGAUGUAGCUUUGGAUAAGCUUUA
rnacentral:misc_RNA from 1 species